rnacentral:pre_miRNA from 1 species
AAAAAGAUAAACCAUGAGUUUUCGUGCCAACAUUUAACUGUCCGUCUUAUAAAAAAAACUAUAAUUAGUAUUUUCAUUGUUGUUAGAUGAUAAAACAUGAUUAAUACUUUAUGCGUGACUUAUAUUUUUUUCAUAAUUUUUUCAAAUAAGACGGACGGUCAAACGUUGGACACGGAAACCAAGGUUUGUCUUUUUU